rnacentral:rRNA from 1 species
UGAGUAACACGUGAGUAACCUGCCCUUGACUCUGGGAUAAGCCUGGGAAACUGGGUCUAAUACCGGAUAUGACUCCUCAUCGCAUGGUGGGGGGUGGAAAGCUUUUGUGGUUUUGGAUGGACUCGCGGCCUAUCAGCUUGUUGGUGAGGUAAUGGCUCACCAAGGCGACGACGGGUAGCCGGCCUGAGAGGGUGACCGGCCACACUGGGACUGAGACACGGCCCAGACUCCUACGGGAGGCAGCAGUGGGGAAUAUUGCACAAUGGGCGCAAGCCUGAUGCAGCGACGCCGCGUGAGGGAUGACGGCCUUCGGGUUGUAAACCUCUUUCAGUAGGGAAGAAGCGAAAGUGACGGUACCUGCAGAAGAAGCGCCGGCUAACUACGUGCCAGCAGCCGCGGUAAUACGUAGGGCGCAAGCGUUAUCCGGAAUUAUUGGGCGUAAAGAGCUCGUAGGCGGUUUGUCGCGUCUGCCGUGAAAGUCCGGGGCUCAACUCCGGAUCUGCGGUGGGUACGGGCAGGCUAGAGUGAUGUAGGGGAGACUGGAAUUCCUGGUGUAGCGGUGAAAUGCGCAGAUAUCAGGAGGAACACCGAUGGCGAAGGCAGGUCUCUGGGCAUUAACU